AGGGCUGCUCUCUUCAGGAUGGUGCCUUGUUGCUGCGCCCUCACGUCCUCACGUGGUGAAGGCGGAACAGCAGGUCCCCAAGCACGUGCAGCAAUGAUACAGCACAGCACCUGCUUCCAGCAGCCCUGAGCGGCGGGGCUAAGUGGAAAGAGUCAGCAUUUCUCUUUUGGGUUCCCUGCCACUCCAAUUUGUUGGCCUGUCCACGAAGGAGUAUGAGUACACUUCUUGGGGAAUGAGAAAAACAAUGGCAAACAUGUGUGGUCUAUUCAUCAAGAUGAAGUCACAGUCUGUAUUCUAAGAAUUAGUAAUCAAGGUCACAAUGAAAGAAAAAAGACUUUCUGGGAAGGUGAAAGGAAAAAUUGAUCCACGCUACCCGGGAGGCUGACAUACUUGGCUAUAUCCACUGGCUCCCUUGCCUCUGGCUUUCCCCCAGGUGUGGCCGCUACAGAUCCCUGGGAGGAGACUGGAGAUUAGGGAGAGGAUGAAGUCAAGGUGUUUAUUCCCUUAGCUCCCUCCCUGAAGUUGCCACAGACCAUGUGAGUCCCUGGACUGAAGGUCACGGCUUCUCUACGGGGCCUUCUCCACAUGACCUUUCUCCCUAAACCGUGGGUGGUACUGCACAGCUGCUACUAGCUUUUGGUUAUUGCCUUCUCUCUUGUGACGUCCCUGUGCCCUAUCUACACUGUUGUAAAUACCUCCCUCUUUCAAUUAUCCUAGUUUGAGCUUACUACUUGUUUCUUGCUGGUAACCUGACUGAUACAGUAAUCGAUACUGGAAGUUGCACCAGGAAAUAGAUCCUCAAAAUGGGAUUCUGGGAUUGGACAGUCCUGUUUGAGGAGCUGAAGGAUGGAAAUGGACCCUAGUGAUUGGCAUGCAGUAGCAUCACACUGAUUCAAGUUAUCAGUGAUCAUAGCAUGGGAUGAAGUGUCGGUGAAGGACAGGACAUGGGAAGAUCAAGUAACUGGGGCUGCCUUUCUCCAUUUCCUGAUGCUAUUACAGAAUACCACAGGCCGGGUAAUUUAUAAAUAGAAGUUUAUUUGACUCACAGUUCUGGAGCUGGGAA